GACGAACCGAGCGAACGUUGUUCGGAAUAACUGGGCUUAAAGGGCGCGUAGGCGGGUGCUCAAGUCCGGGGUGAAAUCCUCCAGCUCAACUGGAGAACUGCCUCGGAUACUGGGUGUCUCGAGUGUGGUAGGGGUAUGCGGAACUAUCGGUGGAGCGGUGAAAUGCGUUGAUAUCGAUAGGAACUCCGGUGGCGAAGGCGGCAUACUGGACCACUACUGACGCUGAUGCGCGAAAGCCAGGGGAGCAAAGCGGGAUUAGAA
rnacentral:rRNA from 1 species